rnacentral:tRNA from 1 species
AACCCUGUGGCUCAGUUGGUAGAGCAUGGUGUUUGCAACGCCAGGGUUGUGGGUUCGAUUCCCACGCGGGGCCA